rnacentral:rRNA from 1 species
CCUACGGGGGGCAGCAGUAGGGAAUCUUCCACAAUGGGCGCAAGCCUGAUGGAGCAACACCGCGUGAGUGAAGAAGGGUUUCGGCUCGGAAAGCUCUGUUGUUGGAGAAGAACGUGCGUGAGAGUAACUGUUCACGCAGUGACGGUAUCCAACCAGAAAGUCACGGCUAACUACGUGCCAGCAGCCGCGGUAAUACGUAGGUGGCAAGCGUUAUCCGGAUUUAUUGGGCGUAAAGCGAGCGCAGGCGGUUGCUUAGGUCUGAUGUGAAAGCCUUCGGCUUAACCUAAGAAGUGCAUCGGAAACCGGGCAACUUGAGUGCAGAAGAGGACAGUGGAACUCCAGGUGUAGCGGUGGAAUGCGUAGAUAUAUGGAAGAACACCAGUGGCGAAGGCGGCUGUCUGGUCUGCAACUGACGCUGAGGCUCGAAAGCAUGGGUAGCGAACAGGAUUAGAUACCCCAGUAGUC